UACAGAGGUCUCAAGCGUUGUUCGGAAUCACUGGGCGUAAAGGGUGCGUAGGCGGCGCGGUAAGUCAGAGGUGAAAUGCCGGGGCUCAACCCUGGACAGGCGGUGGAAACUACCAAGCUGGAGUACGGUAGGGGCAGAGGGAAUUUCCGGUGGAGCGGUGAAAUGCGUAGAGUAUUGGAAAGACCACCGAUGGCGAAGGCACUCUACUGGGCCACUACUGACACUGAGAGACGAAAGCUAGGGGAGCAAAUGGG
rnacentral:rRNA from 1 species